rnacentral:rRNA from 1 species
AUUGAACGCUGGCGGCAGGCUUAACACAUGCAAGUCGAGCGGGGGAAGGUAGCUUGCUACCGGACCUAGCGGCGGACGGGUGAGUAAUGCUUAGGAAUCUGCCUAUUAGUGGGGGACAACAUCUCGAAAGGGAUGCUAAUACCGCAUACGUCCUACGGGAGAAAGCAGGGGAUCUUCGGACCUUGCGCUAAUAGAUGAGCCUAAGUCGGAUUAGCUAGUUGGUGGGGUAAAGGCCUACCAAGGCGACGAUCUGUAGCGGGUCUGAGAGGAUGAUCCGCCACAGUGGGACUGAGACGCCGCCCGGACGCCUACGGGAGGCAGCAGUGGGGAAUAUUGGACAAUGGGGGGAACCCUGAUCCAGCCAUGCCGCGUGUGCGAAGAAGGCCUUAUGGUUGUAGAGCACUUCAAGCGAGGAGGAGGCUACUCUGGUUAAUACCUAGGGAUAGUGGACGUUACUCGCAGAAUAAGCACCGGCUAACUCUGUGCCAGCCGCCGCCGUAA